AUUGAACGCUGGCGGCAUGCUUUACACAUGCAAGUCGAACGGUAACAGGGUGCUUGCACCGCUGACGAGUGGCGAACGGGUGAGUAAUGCGUCGGAACGUGCCGAGUAGUGGGGGAUAACGCAUCGAAAGGUGUGCUAAUACCGCAUACGUACUGAGGUAGAAAGUGGGGGACCUUCGGGCCUUACGCUAUUCGAGCGGCCGACGUCUGAUUAGCUAGUUGGUGAGGUAAUGGCUCACCAAGGCGACGAUCAGUAGCGGGGCUGAGAGGAUGAUCCGCCACACUGGGACUGAGACACGGCCCAGACUCCUACGGGAGGCAGCAGGGGGGAAUUUUGGACAAUGGGCGCAAGCCUGAUCCAGCCAUGCCGCGUGUCUGAAGAAGGCCUUCGGGUUGUAAAGGACUUUUGUCCGGGAGCAAAUGCCUGGUGUUAAUAGCACUGGGAGCUGAGAGUACCGGAAGAAUAAGCACCGGCUAACUACGUGCCAGCAGCCGCCGCAGUAA
rnacentral:rRNA from 1 species